CCGUGGAGGGUCAUUGGAAACUGGGGGACUUGAGUACUGGAGAGGAGAGUGGAAUUCCAUGUGUAGCGGUGAAAUGCGUAGAUAUAUGGAAGAACACCAGUGGCGAAGGCGGCUCUCUGGCCAGUAACUGACGCUGAGGCGCGAAAGCGUGGGGAGCAAACAGGAUUAGAUACCCUGGUAGUCCACGCCGUAAACGAUGAGUGCUAGGUGUUGGGGGGUUCCACCCUCAGUGCUGACGUUAACACAUUAAGCACUCCGCCUGGGGAGUACGACCGCAAGGUUGAAACUCAAAGGAAUUGACGGGGGCCCGCACAAGCAGUGGAGCAUGUGGUUUAAUUCGAAGCAACGCGAAGAACCUUACCAGGUCUUGACAUCCUUCGCUACUUCCAGAGAUGGAAGGUUCCCCUUCGGGGGACGAAGUGACAGGUGGUGCAUGGUUGUCGUCAGCUCGUGUCGUGAGAUGUUGGGUUAAGUCCCGCAACGAGCGCAACCCUUGAUCUUAGUUGCCAGCAUUCAGUUGGGCACUCUAAGGUGACUGCCGGUGACAAGCCGGAGGAAGGUGGGGACGACGUCAAAUCAUCAUGCCCCUUAUGACCUGGGCUACACACGUGCUACAAUGGAUGGUACAAAGGGCAGCAAGACCGCGAGGUUGAGCGAAUCCCAUAAAGCCAUUCUCAGUUCGGAUUGCAGGCUGCAACUCGCCUGCAUGAAGCCGGAAUUGCUAGUAAUCGCGGAUCAGCAUGCCGUGGUGAAUACGUUCCCGUCUUA
rnacentral:rRNA from 1 species